rnacentral:rRNA from 1 species
GACGAACGCUGGCGGCGUGCUUAACACAUGCAAGUCGAACGGAAAGGCCCUGCUUUUGCGGGGUGCUCGAGUGGCGAACGGGUGAGUAACACGUGAGUAACCUGCCCUUGACUUUGGGAUAACUUCAGGAAACUGGGGCUAAUACCGGAUAGGAGCUCCUGCUGCAUGGUGGGGGUUGGAAAGUUUCGGCGGUUGGGGAUGGACUCGCGGCUUAUCCGCUUGUUGGUGGGGUAGUGGCGUACCAAGGCUUUGACGGGUAGCCGGCCUGAGAGGGUGACCGGCCACAUUGGGACUGAGGUACGGCCCAGACUCCUACGGGAGGCAGCAGUGGGGAAUAUUGCACAAUGGGCGGAAGCCUGAUGCAGCAACGCCGCGUGCGGGAUGACGGCCUUCGGGUUGUAAACCGCUUUCGCCUGUGACGAAGCGUGAGUGACGGUAAUGGGUAAAGAAGCACCGGCUAACUACGUG